GCCCUGAGUCCAGUGACGGUAACAUCCAACCAAUGAGCAGAAUCUGCCAACGUGGGACAAGUCAAUUGACGUUUUUUAAUCGGCCUCUUGUUCUAUCUAUUUCAAGGACGUUGGUGCAAUAAGGGCCAAAGGAUGUUGCAAUUCUGACUCGCUUAAUGUAAACAACAAAGCGUGACAGAUAAUUCAGGAAACUCUGGAAAAUUACGUCGGCGUAAACCAGUGUAUCGUUUCGUUAUUACACGAUGUUGGAGGAUUAAGGACAUCUCGUCACUUUGUGCGGUAUUAAAGGGGAACGAACCUUUUUUGAUCAUAUAAAGUAGUAUUAAUUUUUAUGUACGAAACUGCUCAUAUCGCCUUACGAAAGUUUUCCAUUCAAUCUCAUCGUAUAAAAACUAAGCAGACACUAAAAAAGUGCGACGGGAGGGCACGGUAAGGCUUUAUUGCCAUCUGACAAUUUCCCCUCCUAAUCCUGGCUCUCUACCAAAGAUAGGGGAGUUCCCAAAUAUCUCAGGACGCAGAACUUACAACUCCAGUGUACAUUAGAGGAAGACUGCUGCCACACUAUUUGAGAAUUGUCUAAAACUUUCCGGGAGUCGUCAUUACAUUGUUGCAACUAUUCAAUUAUUUUAUAGAAUAAUCAAGACAUGUAAAAAUCGACAGAAUUGAGAAUGGGAGAGGUGAACGCCAGAAAUAUCAAAAAGCGUUGCACUCAGAGGUCACGUGAGAAGUCGGAAAAUGCCAACGACAGAUAACACUUCCUAUUCAUCAAGAUAAAGAGCUGCACAGACAUCAAUACAUGAAUUGUCUUUUAGAGAACAUCUCAGUUAAUAUUCAUGAAUUAUUAUAGAUUUUGUGGUGAAUUACAAUCAAUUCGUAGCAUGGGUGAUAAUAAAUAAAGUCGCGAGGAAAAGUUAGACGUCCAGUAUUUAUCGAAUCUCACAUUGUAAGUGAUAAACAGCCUAGGGACCGUGAAGAAUAUCAUUCAACAUUGAUUAAGAUCUCCCGAAAAGUCACCAUUAAAUUUCCUGUUAACACCUACGUGUCCUUAAUUCAAAAACAACGUCAAAAUAAAGCGGAAACCGACGGGGGCUUUAUGACUUUCGUCAGGAAUACAUCGGGAGUAUUUUUUGGUCGAGAUUAUUGCACCAACUACCUUAAGACGUACCGCCCCACUAUCUGAAUCGAGGACUGAUUUGCAAUUGAGUUGGACUUCCAUUGAUAGUCGACUUGGUUGCUUGAUAAUCAGAUACCGAUUACUAAUUUCCAAGUCGCAUUUAUUAUCACUGAUUUUACUUAACAAUAAAUUAUUCAUACCCGAUGGAGCGAGAAUUUUUCUGAAGAGUUUUUUCGCUUUUCAAAAUGUUUAUUCAUGAAAAUUAUGCCAUAUGACUAAGAUAUUUCACACAUACAUUAAUGAACGUUGAUCAAUAGAAUCAACAUUCCCACUUCAACCCUCCAUAUUCAUUUCUGAAUAAGAAAAAGAAAGUCUGCAGUUGAUUUUCACGAUUCAACAUAUCUGUGGUAGUAAUAUGGCGAUUGUAUUUCUCUAAGGAUAUACAUCAGUCCACAUAUGCCGUAGUAUAUUCCUUUUGGGAAAUAAUAUACGAUUGAAACUCAUAUCACUUAUGUUAAAUAUUACGUAGACAAAUACCUUAGUAUCGUAAAUACAUCCAUUAUUUCAAUUUUUUGUGAUUCAAGUGAAAAGAAUCGAUCAAGUCGUUCAUUAAGUUAAUCAAAUUAUCGCUAAUCUUCGUGGAAAAAUAAUUCGAGAUGGACUGGAAAGACUGAUGAUUAAAUUUAGCUAAAUUGCGGAAAUAUGUGGGAAAGAACUUCCAUAUUUCAACUGAAAAAUUGCAUGUCCAUUCUACUUUGUAAUAAAAAACCCUAAUAAUCUACAAAAAUUCUGGGUAAACGUUUUCUAUUGUCUACAGAGAACAAAUUUUCAAAGUAAUUGUAAAUGAUACAAUUGAGAAUUAGCUUGAAUAUCAUACACAUAAGCUCAAGUAUAUGCUUUCAUUGUGCGAUGAAAUACAACUAAAAUGAGAAUGAGAAUAUUCCUCACAUGAAAACAAAAUAUAUCAAA